CCUACGGGAGGCAGCAGUGAGGAAUAUUGGUCAAUGGACGCAAGUCUGAACCAGCCAUGCCGCGUGCAGGAAGACGGCUCUAUGAGUUGUAAACUGCUUUUGUACGAGGGUAAACGCAGAUACGCGUAUCUGUCUGAAAGUAUCGUACGAAUAAGGAUCGGCUAACUCCGUGCCAGCAGCCGCGGUAAUACGGAGGAUUCAAGCAUUAUCCGGAUUUAUUGGGUUUAAAGGGUGCGUAGGCGGUCGGAUAAGUUAGAGGUGAAAUCCCGAGGCUCAACUUCGGAAUUGCCUCUGAUACUGUGCGGCUAGAGAGUAGUUGAGGUAGGCGGAAUGUAUGGUGUAGCGGUGAAAUGCUUAGAGAUCAUACAGAACACCGAUUGCGAAGGCAGCUUACCAAGCUACUUCUGACGUUGAGGCACGAAAGCGUGGGGAGCAAACAGGAUUAGAUACCCUAGUAGUC
rnacentral:rRNA from 1 species